GGACACCGCGGGCUGCAGCUCGCUCGGUGCUGCGCCGGGCGGUGGGGCAGCGGCGGGGCAAGGGCGCGGGGUCUGGGCCGGGUGGCCCGAGGCGCCCCAGCGGGGUGCGCCCAGCCGGCCUUGGCCGCGGAGCAGCCAUGGCGGAGGCCGUGCCGCAGCACCUGGCGCUGCCUUCGGGGCUGCUGGAGCUAUGCGCGCUGCUGGGCCCCGCCCGGGACAGCCUCCGCGGCCCCGAGCAGGUUGCCCAGAGAAAGGGGGUCAAGAGCCUGUCUUCUCUCGAGCCGGAGGUCCUGUCCGUUUUCGUGCCUCCGUUCGUCAGUAAGGAGGACGGAGCGGCGGCCGGCGUGAACUGUGCAACUCUGGGAAAGCCCAGGAGGCGCUCCUUCCGGAAGAAGAGAGAGCGGCCCAAAGCUGAGCCCUGGAGGGGCCUCCCGGGCGGCCCCAGGCGCCCGGACCCCGAGGACGUCAGCGUCCCCAACGGCGUGGACCUGCUGGCCCUGCCGCAGCUGUGCUUCCCGGGGGGCGUGUGUGUGGCCUCUGAGCCCAAGGAGGACUGUGUCCAUUUUCUGGUGCUGACCGACGUCUGCGGCAACAGAACCUAUGGCGUGGUUGCCCAGUACUACCGACCCUUGCACGACGAGUACUGUUUCUACAACGGCAAGACGCACUGGGAGGUGUCGGGGCCAAGUGGGGGCACGGCCGGCUGCUUCGUGCCCUUCGCCGUGUGUGUCGUCUCCAGAUUCCCCUAUUACAACGCCCUCAAGGACUGCCUGUCCUGUUUAUUGACUCAUCUGAAGUUCUGUAAAGAUUUUGAAGUUGACAAUCACAUAAAAGAUUUUGCUGCAAAACUGUCUUUAAUACCGAGCCCGCCACCUGGACCGCUCCAUUUGAUAUUUAACAUGAAACCACUACAGAUCGUGUUUCCCUCGAGAGCGGACCCCGAAAGCCCGCUCAUUGACCUGGACCUUCACCUGCCCUUACUGUGCUUCAGUCCUGAGAAGGUGCUGCAGAUCCUCACAUGCCUCCUGACGGAGCAGCGCGUCGUGUUCUUCUCGUCCAGCUGGGCUCUGCUGACACUGGUGGCCGAGUGCUUCAUGGUCUACCUGCACCCCCUGCAGUGGCAGCACACGUUCGUGCCCAUCCUGUCGGGGCAGAUGCUGGACUUCCUCAUGGCGCCCACAUCCUUCCUCAUGGGCUGCCACCUCGACCACUUUGAAGAAGUCAGCAAGGAAGCCGACGGCCUGAUUCUGAUAAACAUCGACAGCGGCAGCAUCGCGCACUUGAGCAAGGAGGACGCCGCUGUCCCCGACAUCCCUCUCCUGGCUGCGCAGACGUUUGUCCAGAGGGUCCAGACCCUGCAGCUGUACCACGAGCUGGACCUCGCUCACCUCUGUGCCAGCACUGACCUGAAUGAGGACCGAGCCUCUCGGCGGGCCUGGCAGCAGGGACUCAACCACCAGAUACAGCAGAUCACCGUGCACCUGCUUGUCAGCAUCUUCAGGGAUGUGAAGAAUCACUUAAAUUAUGAACAUCGAGUGUUCAACAGUGAAGAGUUCCUCAAAACCAGAGCCCCAGGGGACCAGGCCUUCUAUAAACAGGUCUUGGAUACCUACAUGUUCCACGCUUUCCUCAAGGCCCGGCUCAGCAGAAGGAUGGACGCCUUUGCCCAGAUGGACCUCCACACGCAGUCCGAGGAGGACAGGAUAAAUGGGACGCUCCUAAGUCCAAGAAGACCGACGAUCGAGAAGAUGGCCAGCCGGAAGUCCUCGCCGCUGCACGCGGCCGACAGGCGCAUGGUGGUCAGCAUGCCCAACCUGCAGGACAUCGUGGUUCUCGAGCUGCCGCCCCGCAACUCAUCGCUUCGGAAGAUGCACACCUCGGAUUGUGGGAGCAGCCAUGCAGUUCUGUGUGUGGCCCCCAAGUCCACGCACACCUUCAAGAUCCCGGAAGUCCACUUCCCGCUGGUGGGCCAGUGUGUGCAGGCGUUCCACGCGGACUGCGCCGCCCAGCUGACCAAGGUCAUGGGCUCGCUGCCGCCCGAGAGCUCGGCGCUCCUGGCCGGGUACCUCUACCUGCGCGGGCUCGUCCGCCUGACGCAGGGCCAGCUGCUGGGCGCGCUCCUGGACUUUCAGAGCUUAUACAAGACGGACGUGCGGAUCUUCCCCGCCGACCUCGUCCAGAGGACGGUGGAGUCCCUGUCGGGACCUGAGCGCGCGCAGGCGGAGCGGACGCCCGAGCUGCGGAGGCUCAUGAGCGAGGUCAUGGACAAGCCCGCGGACGCCCCCAAGGCCGAUGACCGCGUCAAGCACUUCGAGCUGCCCAGGACGCACAUGCAGCUGGACGACUUUGUGAAGAGGGUCCAGGAGUCGGGCAUCGUGAAGGACACCGGCACCAUCCACCGGCUGUUCGCCGCUUUGACCGUAGGGCACGAGAAACAGAUUGACCCGGAAACAUUCAAGGAUUUCUACAACUGCUGGAAGGAGGCAGAAGCAGAGGCCCAAGAUGUCAGUCUGCCUUUGUCCGUGAUAGAACACCUGGAUAAAAACGAGUGUGUCUAUAAGCUGUCCAGCUCCGUCAAGACGAACCGCGGCGUGGGCAAGAUCGCCAUGACCCAGAAGCGCCUGUUCCUCCUGACCGAAGGGAGACCGGGCUACGUGGAAAUUUCCACCUUCAGAAACAUAGCGGAAGUCCGGAGCACCACGGUGGCUUUCCUGCUCCUGAGAAUUCCCACCUUAAAAGUCAAAAUGGUGUCCAAGAAGGAAGUCUUUGAAGCUAACCUCAAGAACGAGUGUGACCUGUGGCACCUGAUGGUGAAGGAGAUGUGCGCUGGGAAGAGGCUGGCCGAUGAGCACAAGGACCCCCAGUACGUUCAGCAGGCGCUGACCCACGUCCUGCUGAUGGACGCCGUCGUCGGGGCGCUGCAGUCGCCCGGGGCCGUGUACGCUGCCUCCAAACUGUCUUACUUCGAUAAGAUGAAGAACGAGAUGCCCCUGGCCGUUCCCAAGACGACCUCGGAGACGCUGAAGCACAAGAUAAACCCGUCGGCAGGUGAGACGACCCCACGCGGCGUGGACGUCCUGCUCUACACCCCAGGGCAUCUGGACCCAGCAGAAAAAAUUGAGGACGCUCACCCCAAACUAUGGUGUGCUCUGGACGAAGGCAAGGUGAUUGUGUUCGAUGCUUCCUCGUGGACGGUCCACCAGCACUGCUUUAAAGUGGGCACUUCUAAGCUGAACUGCAUGGUGAUGGCGGAGCAGAGCCAGGUGUGGGUCGGCUCCGAGGACUCCGUCAUCUACAUCAUCAACAUCCACAGCAUGUCCUGCAACAAGCAGCUCACGGACCACCGCUCCAGCGUCACGGGUUUGGUCGUGCAGGAUGGAGCUCAGGCGCCGAGGGAGGUGUACUCGUGCAGCAUGGACGGGACGGUCCUGGCCUGGAACGUGAGCACGCUGCGGGUGACCAGCAGGUUCCAGCUGCCGAGCUGCGGGCUCUCGUCCAUCAGACUGCACAACGACCGCCUGUGGUGCUGUACUGGUACCAGCAUCAUGCUCGUGACCACGAAUGGAUUUGUCCGUCAGGAACUGAAGAUCAACGAGAACUUCACAGAGAUAAGCACCUCCUUCCUGGGUUUCCAGCUCAUACCCGAGCAGGAGCAGCUCUGGGCGGCCUGUGCUGGGUACGGCGACCUCUACAUUUGGAGCCUGAGGGACCUGGCCCAGCCCCCCCAGAGGAUCCACCUGCCCGAAUGCUCCGAGGUCAACUGCAUGAUCAGGGUGAAGAAGCAGAUCUGGGUGGGCGGCACCGGGCUGUCGCAGGGGAGGUCCAAGGGUAAGAUCUACGUGAUCGACACCGAGAGGAAGACGGUGGAGAAAGAGCUGGUGGCCCACGCGGACACGGUGAAGACCCUGUGCUCCGCGGAGGACAGAUACGUGCUGAGCGGGUCCGGCCGCGAGGAAGGGAAGAUCGCCAUCUGGAAAGUCGAGUAACCUGGGCGCCCGUGGGAGCGGCGCUGAGCCCUGCGAGGGAGCGGCGUGCCUUCGGCCGGCUUUCUGGAGCCUUCCCAGAGAAGGCGGGUCCCCACCUGCCCAGCGGGAUGCACAGCGCUCGCAUUCACGAGGUGGUGCCAAAUGUCUACUCACUCUGCUGUGCUGGCCGACGAAGUCCACAGUCUCCUGUUCUUAACCUGGGAAGCCACCCCGGGAACGGGUCCACUCCUGGAGCUGCCACCUGCUGCUAGGUGGCUAUGUGGUAUGUGUCCUGGUUGCUACCAGAUCCCCAUCAAGUGUCCACCACCUCCGCCUGGCGCCUCUCCAACCCUCUGAGAGGAGGUCCUCUGUUGAGUCUUGAGACUGGGUUCCUUCUUCAGCCUCACUCUGCACGCUCUCCCCCCUUCCGGGAGUCCUUGCGGUCUCUGGGCCCGGGGAAGAUCCCUACACUUGUCUUUUGAGUUCUGUGUGUGUGUUUUCUGUUGUUUCUAAGGGCCUGGAAUACACACUGGGCCCACCUUCUUGUGUCUCAGAGCUGUUUCCUGAUCUAAAAAUCACGGUGUAGUCUCCAUUUUGGGGAAGAACCAAGCAUGGAACAGGACAUGUAAAAGAGCUGUGCAAGUGAGAAGCAACCAAAGGCUUAUACUUAAAGCCAGUGUGGUUCCUCGACUGAGUUCGAGGCCACAUGUGAGAUUUCUAAGAAUUCAGCUCUUUUCACUAAUGAAAUUUUCUUGCCUACAUGUGUCCUACUUGAGGUCCCUCCCUCCAGGAAAAUCCUUCAGUACACAUUCCAGAAACACAGAUUCGUGAAUUUUUAGAAUGACAGACGAGGUACAGACAGGCAGACAGAUCGUAGAUAAGGUAUAAACACAACUUUCCCCUUGAUUUUUCAAUAAAAACAAAACCCCAAGAAACUUCUGUUCAUACUGUUAAAACAAUGUAGUAGGCCAGUAUGUGCUAAUGAGGAAAGAGGAUUAUGUUACUAAACAGAAAAUGUAGAUUGCGAACUCUA